AAAUUGAAGAGUUUGAUCAUGGCUCAGAUUGAACGCUGGCGGCAGGCCUAACACAUGCAAGUCGAACGGUAACAGGAAGAAGCUUGCUUCUUUGCUGACGAGUGGCGGACGGGUGAGUAAUGUCUGGGAAACUGCCUGAUGGAGGGGGAUAACUACUGGAAACGGUAGCUAAUACCGCAUAACGUCGCAAGACCAAAGAGGGGGACCUUCGGGCCUCUUGCCAUCAGAUGUGCCCAGAUGGGAUUAGCUAGUAGGUGGGGUAACGGCUCACCUAGGCGACGAUCCCUAGCUGGUCUGAGAGGAUGACCAGCCACACUGGAACUGAGACACGGUCCAGACUCCUACGGGAGGCAGCAGUGGGGAAUAUUGCACAAUGGGCGCAAGCCUGAUGCAGCCAUGCCGCGUGUAUGAAGAAGGCCUUCGGGUUGUAAAGUACUUUCAGCGGGGAGGAAGGGAGUAAAGUUAAUACCUUUGCUCAUUGACGUUACCCGCAGAAGAAGCACCGGCUAACUCCGUGCCAGCAGCCGCGGUAAUACGGAGGGUGCAAGCGUUAAUCGGAAUUACUGGGCGUAAAGCGCACGCAGGCGGUUUGUUAAGUCAGAUGUGAAAUCCCCGGGCUCAACCUGGGAACUGCAUCUGAUACUGGCAAGCUUGAGUCUCGUAGAGGGGGGUAGAAUUCCAGGUGUAGCGGUGAAAUGCGUAGAGAUCUGGAGGAAUACCGGUGGCGAAGGCGGCCCCCUGGACGAAGACUGACGCUCAGGUGCGAAAGCGUGGGGAGCAAACAGGAUUAGAUACCCUGGUAGUCCACGCCGUAAACGAUGUCGACUUGGAGGUUGUGCCCUUGAGGCGUGGCUUCCGGAGCUAACGCGUUAAGUCGACCGCCUGGGGAGUACGGCCGCAAGGUUAAAACUCAAAUGAAUUGACGGGGGCCCGCACAAGCGGUGGAGCAUGUGGUUUAAUUCGAUGCAACGCGAAGAACCUUACCUGGUCUUGACAUCCACGGAAGUUUUCAGAGAUGAGAAUGUGCCUUCGGGAACCGUGAGACAGGUGCUGCAUGGCUGUCGUCAGCUCGUGUUGUGAAAUGUUGGGUUAAGUCCCGCAACGAGCGCAACCCUUAUCCUUUGUUGCCAGCGGUCCGGCCGGGAACUCAAAGGAGACUGCCAGUGAUAAACUGGAGGAAGGUGGGGAUGACGUCAAGUCAUCAUGGCCCUUACGACCAGGGCUACACACGUGCUACAAUGGCGCAUACAAAGAGAAGCGACCUCGCGAGAGCAAGCGGACCUCAUAAAGUGCGUCGUAGUCCGGAUUGGAGUCUGCAACUCGACUCCAUGAAGUCGGAAUCGCUAGUAAUCGUGGAUCAGAAUGCCACGGUGAAUACGUUCCCGGGCCUUGUACACACCGCCCGUCACACCAUGGGAGUGGGUUGCAAAAGAAGUAGGUAGCUUAACCUUCGGGAGGGCGCUUACCACUUUGUGAUUCAUGACUGGGGUGAAGUCGUAACAAGGUAACCGUAGGGGAACCUGCGGUUGGAUCACCUCCUUA
rnacentral:rRNA from 1 species